GAUGAAGAACGCAGCGAAAUGCGAUAAGUAAUGUGAAUUGCAGAAUUCAGUGAAUCAUCGAAUCUUUGAACGCACCUUGCGCCCUUUGGCCAUUCCGAAGGGCAUGCCUGUUUGAGUAUCAUGAACACCUCAACUCUCAUGGCUUGCCAUGAUGAGCUUGGACUUUGGGGGUCUUGCUGGCCUGUGGUCGGCUCCUCUCAAAUGAAUCAGCUUGCCAGUGUUUGGUGGCAUCACAAGUGUGAUAACUAUCUGCGCUCGUGGUUUCCAUCAGAUAACCUCCAGUGAUGGAGGUUCGCUGGAGCUCAUAAAUGUCUCUCCUAAGCGAGGACAGCUCUUUUAAUGUUUGAUCUCAAAUCAGGUAGGACUACCCGCUGAACUUAAGCAUAUCAAUAAACGGAGGA
rnacentral:misc_RNA from 1 species